AUACUUAACCUGGCAGGGGAGAUACCAUGAUCAGGAAGGUGGUUUUCCCAGGGCGAGGCUUAUCCAUUGCACUCGGGAUGUGCUGACCUCUGCGAUUUCCCCAAAUGUGGGAAACUCGACUGCAUAAUUUGUGGUAGUGGGGGACUGCGUUCACGCUUUCCCCUG
rnacentral:snRNA from 1 species